UACGUAGGGGGCUAGCGUUGUCCGGAAUCAUUGGGCGUAAAGGGCGCGUAGGCGGCCUGAUAAGUAGGGGGUGAAAUCCUGCGGCUUAACCGCAGGGCUGCCUUCUAAACUGUCAGGCUGGAGCACAGUAGAGGCAGGUGGAAUUCCCGGUGUAGCGGUGGAAUGCGUAGAGAUCGGGAAGAACAUCAGUGGCGAAGGCGGCCUGCUGGGCUGUUGCUGACGCUGAGGCGCGACAGCGUGGGGAGCAAACAGG
rnacentral:rRNA from 1 species